rnacentral:rRNA from 1 species
AGAGUUCGAUCCUGGCUCAGGACGAACGCUGGCGGCGUGCCUAAUACAUGCAAGUAGAACGCUGAAAUAAGAGCUUGCUCUUGUGGAUGAGUUGCGAACGGGUGAGUAACACGUGGGGAACCUACCUUCUAGCGGGGGAUAACACAUAGAAAUGUGUGCUAAUACCGCAUAAUAGUAUUUGAUGCAUAUCAGAUACUUGAAAGGCGCAAUUGCGUCACUAGAAGAUGGCCCCGCGGUGCAUUAGCUAGUUGGUGAGGUAACGGCUCACCAAGGCAAUGAUGCAUAGCCGACCUGAGAGGGUGAUCGGCCACACUGGGACUGAGACACGGCCCAGACUCCUACGGGAGGCAGCAGUAGGGAAUCUUCGGCAAUGGACGCAAGUCUGACCGAGCAACGCCGCGUGAGUGAAGAAGGUUUUCGGAUCGUAAAACUCUGUUGUAAGAGAAGAACGUUGAUGAGGGUGGAAAGUUCAUCAAGUGACGGUAUCUUACCAGAAAGCCACGGCUAACUACGUGCCAGCAGCCGCGGUAAUACGUAGGUGGCAAGCGUUGUCCGGAUUUAUUGGGCGUAAAGCGAGCGCAGGCGGUUGAUUAAGUCUGAUGUGAAAGCCCCCGGCUCAACCGGGGAGGGUCAUUGGAAACUGGUCAACUUGAGUGCAGAAGAGGAGAGUGGAAUUCCAUGUGUAGCGGUGAAAUGCGUAGAUAUAUGGAGGAACACCAGUGGCGAAGGCGGCUCUCUGGUCUGUAACUGACGCUGAGGCUCGAAAGCGUGGGGAGCGAACAGGAUUAGAUACCCUGGUAGUCCACGCCGUAAACGAUGAGUGCUAAGUGUUGGAGGGUUUCCGCCCUUCAGUGCUGCAGCUACGCAUUAGCACUCCGCUGGGGAGUACGACGCAGUGAACUCAAGAUGACG